rnacentral:rRNA from 1 species
AGACAGGUGGUGCGAUGGUUGUCGUCAGCUCGUGUCGUGAGAUGUUGGGUUAAGUCCCGCAACGAGCGCAACCCUUGUGUUUAGUUGCAAACAGGUCAAGCUGUGCACUCUAGACAGACUGCCGUGGACAACACGGAGGAAGGUGGGGAUGACGUCAAAUCAUCAUGCCCCUUAUGAUCUGGGCUACACACGUGCUACAAUGGCCGGUACAACGGGCAGCGAAGGAGCGAUCCGGAGCGAAUCCUAAAAAGCCGGUCCCAGUUCGGAUUGCAGGCUGAAACUCGCCUACAUGAAGUUGGAGUUGCUAGUAAUCGCGAAUCAGAAUGUCGCGGUGAAUGCGUUCCCGGGUCUU